rnacentral:tmRNA from 1 species
GGGGGUGUCUUGGCUUCGACUGCAAGUGGAAGUAAGGACAGCAAGCCGUGGGUGAUAUUCCGGGCCACGUAAAAAGGAGUAUCAAAAAUCUUAACUGCAAACAACGCAGAUUAUGCACCUGUUGAUAUGGCACUUGCUGCCUAAUCACUAAUAACAGGCGCUUUCAAAUGGGUUCGCCUGAGACGUGUUUGAAAGUGUCAUCUAAUUCGGGCUGGUUUGUUUGUUCCUCCAGCAAGCAAAUAAGAUUUUAGGAGGUGUUCCGGUGUGAGGCGGUUCACAACCAACAUCAUCGGCAAAAACGAAAAGCGUGAACUAAGCUUGUAGAACUCUUUAUGAAAACUCUGUAGGACGCGGGUUCGACUCCCGCCACCUCCACCA